AAGUGUGCUGGGAAGGAGUACAGGGGUGGGGAGACCUGAGUGAGUUGGAGAAGGGGCAUGAGAAGUGCGAGAAGGAUCUUGGCGAUCAGUUGGGGUGAGCUCAACAAAAACCCAGUGGAAGGAUUUUCAGCAGGUUUAAUAGAUGACAAUGAUCUAUAUCGAUGGGAAGUUCUUAUUAUUGGUCCACCCGAUACACUGUAUGAAGGCGGCGUCUUCAAAGCUCACCUUACUUUCCCAAAGGACUAUCCACUCAGGCCGCCAAAAAUGAAGUUUAUCACAGAAAUAUGGCAUCCAAAUGUUGAUAAAAAUGGUGAUGUCUGUAUUUCCAUCCUUCAUGAACCUGGUGAAGACAAAUAUGGCUAUGAGAAACCUGAAGAACGCUGGCUUCCCAUCCAUACUGUGGAAACCAUAAUGAUUAGUGUAAUUUCUAUGCUGGCAGAUCCCAACGGUGACUCUCCUGCUAACGUUGAUGCAGCGAAAGAAUGGAGGGAAGAUAGAAAUGGAGAAUUCAAAAGGAAAGUUGCCCGCUGUGUAAGAAAAAGCCAAGAGACUGCUUUUGAGUGACACUUAAUUCAGCAGCUAGUAGCUUCACUUUUUUUCAGGCACUUGUGGUUACUGCUGAUGGUAAUCCUGCAACUGAUGAUUUCCAAAGAAUCUUGGUGUUGCCAGCUGAAAACUAAACAUGCAGCUUUUGAUGUCUCCAAUUGAGGAACAUGGCACUGUUUUUCCUGCACUCUAUCCACCUAAUGCUGGACUUCUGUUUAUACCAAGUUGGCAGACACUGGCUGGAACUGGGCUGCAAUAAAACAUGCCAGUUAUUAAUGCUGACAAAGAGCCUAACAAGUGCCAACAAGGAUUUGCGCAUUUUGAAAACUAAUGGAACUGCUUUAACCUUCAGGAAGAAUUGUAAAGAUGUGUACAUAGCACAACAUGAUCCGGAUAAUAUAUACUGUUCAUGUACAUCCACAAAUACACAUUGUACCAAAUAAUGCUGUCUUGUAGUUAGAAUAAGAAUCGUGUAAAUUCUAAAGAUUUUUAGCAGGUUUUCCAUUUUUCUCUUCUCCCCCCCCCCCUGGUUUUCCCUAUGAGUCUUUAAAAUUUCUCGUGAAGCAUGUCAGUCUAAAACAAAUUAGGAUUUAAAAAUUCUGUUUUAACUUUUUCUUUUCAGCCAUUGAAGAUUCAUUAAAAUCUCUCACUUUAAUAAAGUUUAAUACCUUUGUAAUGCUGUCCCUUCCCCCUUACCUUUUUUCAGAUUACAUAAAUACAACACAGAUCUAUUACUUGAUUCUAAUGAUGACUUGAGCACUGUCAUCAGGAGGUGCAGUUCCUUCCCUUGCAUUAUGACCCAGCUGUGCUCAUCUCUUGGCUUGGAUGUAGCAAUAAGAUUUUACAGCUGUGGAGCACCCUUGAGCCUGUUAUCUUUCCCAAAAGGGUUGAGAGCAUUUGUUUUGGAAGUGGUCAGCUAAGUAUGUUAGCCCAAUAUAGGAUGAACUGCUUUCUUUUGAUUUCUUGCCUGGUUUGAAGUUGGAUAAAUAAAAGCAUGCAGAGCUGUAGGCUUUCAAGUGAGUUCUGGUUUUGCUAUCAAAUGCUAUUUCCCUUUCCCUCUUCUUCCUCUUUCCCCCCCUCUCUAUAUUUCUUUGCCUUUUGAUCUCCUGCAGGUUUUCCUCACUUAAUGUAUAAAGACAAAUUGCGAUGUAUAUUUUCAUGUAACUUGAUUUUGGAAUUCUGUCACCUUCUGUAGUGAGUUCUUCCAAAAUAUAAAUUUUUCCAAUA